UACAGAGGGGGCAAGCGUUAUUCGGAAUUAUUGGGCGUAAAGGGCGCGUAGGCGGCUUUGCAAGUGACGGGUGAAAUCCCUCGGCUUAACCGAGGAACUGCCUGUCAGACUGCAUGGCUUGAGACCGGGAGAGGUGAGUGGAAUUCCCAGUGUAGCGGUGAAAUGCGUAGAUAUCAGGAGGAACACCAAUGGGCGAAAGGCAGCUCGCUGGGACGGUACUGACGCUGGAGGCGACGAAAGCCGUGGGGAGCAAACAGG
rnacentral:rRNA from 1 species